rnacentral:rRNA from 1 species
AUUGAACGCUGGCGGCAGGCCUAACACAUGCAAGUCGAACGGCAGCACAGAAGAGCUUGCUCUUUGGGUGGCGAGUGGCGGACGGGUGAGUAAUGUCUGGGAAACUGCCCGAUGGAGGGGGAUAACUACUGGAAGCGGUAGCUAAUACCGCAUAACGUCGCGAGACCAAAGUGGGGGACCUUCGGGCCUCACACCAUCGGAUGUGCCCAGAUGGGAUUAGCUAGUAGGUGGGGUAAUGGCUCACCUAGGCGACGAUCCCUAGCUGGUCUGAGAGGAUGACCAGCCACACUGGAACUGAGACACGGUCCAGACUCCUACGGGAGGCAGCAGUGGGGAAUAUUGCACAAUGGGCGCAAGCCUGAUGCAGCCAAGCCGCGUGUAUGAAGAAGGCCUUCGGGUUGUAAAGUACUUUCAGCGGGGAGGAAGGCGGUGAGGUUAAUAACCUCGCCGAUUGACGUUACCCGCAGAAGAAGCACCGGCUAACUCCGUGCCAGCAGCCGCAGUAA